UACGUAGGGUGCGAGCGUUAAUCGGAAUUACUGGGCGUAAAGCGUGCGCAGGCGGUUUUGUAAGCCAGAUGUGAAAUCCCCGGGCUUAACCUGGGAAUGGCAUUUGGGACUGCAAGGCUUGAGUGUGGCAGAGGAGACUGGAAUUCCUGGUGUAGCAGUGAAAUGCGCAGAUAUCAGGAGGAACACCGAUGGCGAAGGCAGGUCUCUGGGCCAUAACUGACGCUGAGAAGCGAAAGCAUGGGGAGCGAACAGG
rnacentral:rRNA from 1 species